GAUGAACGCUGGCGGCGUGCCUAACACAUGCAAGUCGAGCGAAAGCACGGGAAGCUUGCGCCCCCGAGGGUGGCGGGGGACGGGUGAGUAACACGUGGAUAGCAUACCUCUAAGACGGGGGUGAUAACGGGGGACAAGAUCUACUACCGGAUAAUAUUUCGAACCGGAUGGUGCAAAAGUGAAAGACGCUCUUGCUGACACUAAUAGAUGAAUCCGCGCUGGAUUAACUAGUUGGUAAAGUAACGGCUUACCAAGGAAACGAUGCAUAGCCGACCUGAGAGGGUGAUCGGCCACACUGGAACUGAGACACGGUCCAGACUCCUACGGGAGGCAGCAGUCGGGAAUCUUCCGCAAUGGGCGAAAGCCUGACGGAGCAACACCGCGUGAGUGAUGAAGGUCUUCGGAUCGUAAAGCUCUGUUGUUAGGAAAGAACAUAAGCGUAAUUAACUGUGCACAUCUUGACGGUACCUAAAGAGUAAGCACCGGCUAACUACGUG
rnacentral:rRNA from 1 species